GUAGGUGAACCUGCGGAAGGAUCAUUACCUGGCCUUGGGCCGCUCGCGGGAGCUAGUCGCUUGCGACGACGCUGCCGAGGGUGCUUAGCCCUUGACUUAUCACCUUGACUAUGUGCACCUUUUGUUGUUUCCUCGGCAGGUCAUCUGCCGCCAGGAACCCUCUAAACCUUUUUGCAAACAGCAUCCAAACUUCUGAAAACAAACCAAAUUAUUUACAACUUUUAACAAUGGAUCUCUUGGUUCUGGCAUC
rnacentral:misc_RNA from 1 species